rnacentral:rRNA from 1 species
UAGAGUUUGAUCCUGGCUCAGGAUGAACGCUAGCGGGAGGCCUAACACAUGCAAGCCGAGCGGUAUUUGUUCUUCGGAACAGAGAGAGCGGCGCACGGGUGCGGAACACGUGUGCAACCUGCCUUUAUCUGGGGGAUAGCCUUUCGAAAGGAAGAUUAAUACCCCAUAAUAUAUUGGGUGGCAUCAUUUGAUAUUGAAAACUCCGGUGGAUAGAGAUGGGCACGCGCAAGAUUAGAUAGUUGGUGAGGUAACGGCUCACCAAGUCAAUGAUCUUUAGGGGGCCUGAGAGGGUGAUCCCCCACACUGGUACUGAGACACGGACCAGACUCCUACGGGAGGCAGCAGUGAGGAAUAUUGGACAAUGGGUUAGCGCCUGAUCCAGCCAUCCCGCGUGAAGGACGACGGCCCUAUGGGUUGUAAACUUCUUUUGUAUAGGGAUAAACCUACUCUCGUGAGAGUAGCUGAAGGUACUAUACGAAUAAGCACCGGCUAACUCCGUGCCAGCAGCCGCGGUAAU